rnacentral:tRNA from 1 species
GGGGAUAUGGCUUAUUUAGUAGAGUGCUUGCCUUGCAUGCAAAAGGUCCUGGGUUCAAUCCCCAGCACCA